rnacentral:rRNA from 1 species
UACGUAGGGUGCGAGCGUUGUCCGGAAUUAUUGGGCGUAAAGAGCUUGUAGGCGGUUUGUCGCGUCUGCUGUGAAAAUCCGGGGCUCAACCCCGGACUUGCAGUGGGUACGGGCAGACUGGAGUGUGGUAGGGGAGACGUGGAAUUCCUGAUGUAGCGGUGGAAUGCGCAGAUAUCAGGAGGAACACCGAUGGCGAAGGCAGGUCUCUGGGCAUUAACUGACGCUGAGGAGCGAAAGCAUGGGGAGCGAACAGG